GUGGGUUUUUUUAAGGUUCCAUCUGAUGUUUACUGGGCGCAGCUCGAGCCGCUCUGCGUGCGCCAUCCAAGCGCGCGUGGGGCGAAGUGUCAUUUGUGCGGUUAAAUCUGCAUUAUGCCGGCUUUAAUUGCAUCAGCUGCCAGAGACAUCUAGGAAUAAUGGCAUUAAAGAGGGAAAUAGCAAUCAUCUUCAGAAGGCUGCAACAUAAUGGAGGGACCUAAUUAAUUUAACCUUGCAGUCUUCCAUAAUGGCUGCACUUUAUCAUUUCCACAGAUGGAGCUUGAAGGAAUUAACAAUGCCGUUUAUCCCAGCUGACAUGUCUGACUGCGGUUAGCCAAUGGCACAUUUCCCACUUCAAGAUGCAUUUCUUCACUUGAGGGAAACCAAGGCGAGCGCUGGCAAUAGCUGCCGAAACUUGCCGCUGUGACGUGUGUGUGGCAUGCUGGAGAAAAGGCACGAGAUCGGUCUCUUUAUGGGCUCAUCGAGUGAUGCUGGGAGAAGACAGAGUGUUUCCCUGCUUACCCGAGCCGAGACGUUUCCAAUACUGUUUCAGGGUGUUGUUUUUGUUUUUGUUUUUGGUUUUGUUUUUCCAUUAUAUUCCCCUUUACUAUAUUUCCCUUUAACUGCGUGUCCCACUAAUCUUUUCCUCCAGAUUCACAUAAUUCAACCCAACGCAUUUCCAAGACGAUUCCCAGCGUUACCAGACUCUGUGCUCGGGAAACCUGAGCAGCCCCGAGCAAACGAUGCGCUCUGCGCGUCGUCGCGUCCUACGGUCACCCGCACGCACAGCCCCGACUCACGCGUGGCCGUCACCCCGCAGCCGGGAAGGGAGAAACUCGCCGCUCCUCAAAGCCCGGCUGCGGGAACCCCCUCUGUUCCCCGGUGUUUACACGGGAAUAAAUAGAGGAGGUAAAAUGUUCUGCACCUCUGCCCGCACCGCUGGGAUACGGAAGGGCGGCGUUCGGCAGCUUUCGGAGGGGCGUUUGUUGUUACCCCGAACAACGGGACCGGGCGCGGUGGCGGAUGAGCGUCAGACAGUGUAACAGGAAACGGCGUUAGCAUGAGAGAAUGGGGUCUGCUAUUGAGAUGCUGACUGUAAUUUACAGUGAUAAAAAUAAAAUUAAAAAGAACUAAAUGAAGAUCGCAGCCUACGAGCCACCUGGACUGCUUGUGGAGUGCCAGUUUAGGAGGGUGGGUUGGGAUCCCAGCCCCCCGCUUUGCUGGUCCGGCACGUACCCCCACCACCAGCCAGCGGCGUGACAGUGGAUGCCGACAGUGCGCUGAGCGCCGCGCUGCCGUUUCUCCCGUCCGAGGGGUACCCGGAGGAGAACCCCGCGGCCGACGCCGUGCCCGCAUUGUGCGUGGAGAGUCCGAACGCCGUGAGCUGCGCUGCUGACGUGCCCGUGACGCUCAGCCCUCUAACCGGGCGCUGGUGAUGCCGCUCCGCUGAACAAAGGAGGCUGCCCGGUUUGAAGCCCUAUUCAUUGGCCGCCUGGAAAUAACCGUAUGCAUAGAAACGUAGAAUGGUUUGGGUUGAAAGGGCCCUUUAAGAUCAUCUAGUUCCAACCCCCUGCUAUAGGCAAGGACACCUCCCUCUAGACCAGGUAUGCAUCUUCGGGUGUGUAUUCCCCACGGUAAAUGGAAUAUGAGCAAGAAUCUGCGUUCUGCGCAGAGGAAUUCAGGCUGCGGGCGGUACGCAGCUGAAGGCGGCGCACGGGGUGAAGCGGAAAGCGCAGGACCAGUGCCUGUGAUGGAUGGAAAUCUGUGAAAUCAGUCAAAAUAAGUAAAUAAAUAAACAGUGAACAAACACGGGAAGCGAAGCCCGCACAGCCCCGCCGGCACGGCAGCGCCUGCGAGCCGGGAGCACCUGCUCGCUCCGCCG
ensembl:lncRNA